rnacentral:rRNA from 1 species
UACGUAGGCAGCGAGCGUUGUUCGGAGUUACUGGGCGUAAAGGGUGUGUAGGCGGUUGUUUAAGUUUGGUGUGAAAUCUCCCGGCUCAACUGGGAGGGUGCGCCGAAUACUGAAUGACUCGAGUGUGGGAGAGGUGAGUGGAAUUCCAGGUGUAGCGGUGAAAUGCGUAGAUAUCUGGAGGAACACCGGUGGCGAAGGCGGCAUCCUGGACCGGCAUUGACGCUGAGGCGCGAAAGCCAGGGGAGCGAACAGG